rnacentral:sRNA from 1 species
ACAAAACGUCCAUUGUCUGAUGCGAGAAGCCCUUCUUCCGGUUUACAAUGCGACUCCUCUGAGUCUCGAUAUUACUCAGAUGGAGUCGCGGAGCUUGAUGUUCUAUUCUAUUUCAAAUUCCGCCCUUCGCCCAAACCCAGCGGGAUGGCCCCCGGCCGUCAUGUUUCCCUAUCCAAACGUUUGGAAUGGUUAAAGGUACCGUAGAGGCACGGAGUUGACUCUACAUCCAUCUUCCAACCUAGCUCUAAAAUUGAGGAGAAGCAAUUCCCCACACUGAGGAUCGUAUGGAAGGCGAGCGAGGCAAAUAGAUGUUGGCAAAUAGAUGUUGCCGGUGCUUGAAGGCUGCUGAAAUAAAUCACCACACAGGGUAACAUAAAGGGAGCCGCAGCAACUUGGACACAAAAACCAAAAACAAAUAACUUGACCUAGUUCACUUCUCCCCUUUUUGCUUUUCCUGUCUUCAACCACCUACUCCAUUUGCUCUCGUCCAUACUUUUAGGAACGAAUUCUAAACCUGAAUGCAUCUUCACCGCGAGAUUUUGGCUUCGAAGUUGUGACUUUUCCUUGCCACGCCAAGCCAGAAACGUAUUCACCAUCAUUCCAAUGAAGCAAUGCCUUUACCCUUGAGAGGCAGAUUGAACCCUACGCGUCUGCCAGGUCUAAAUAUUACUCUAAACAAAGAUAUCCAGGCGUACGUCCAGGAGACUCGACAUGCAGCUGCAGGGGAUUCCUGGACAGCAAAUCCAGAGCUUCCCACCACAAAUGAAAUCUUGGG